UCCUACGGGAGGCAGCAGUAGGGAAUCUUGCGCAAUGGGCGAAAGCCUGACGCAGCAAUGCCGCGUGCGGGACGAAGGCCCUAGGGUCGUAAACCGCUUUCAGUAGGGACGAAAAUGACGGUACCUGCAGAAGAAGCUCCGGCCAACUACGUGCCAGCAGCCGCGGUGAUACGUAGGGAGCAAGGUAAAGGGCUCGUAGGUGGUUGAGUAAGUCAGAUGUGAAAUCUCAGGGCCCAACCCUGAGCCUGCAUUUGAUACUGCUCUGACUAGAGUCCGGUAGGGGAGUGCGGAACUCCUGGUGUAGCGGUGAAAUGCGCAGAUAUCAGGAAGAACACCGACAGCGAAGGCAGCACUCUGGGCCGGUACUGACACUGAGGAGCGAAAGCAUGGGUAGCAAACAGGAUUAGAUACCCUGGUAGUCCAUGCCGUAAACGUUGGGCACUAGGUGUGGGGAGAACUCAACUCUCUCCGCGCCGUAGCUAACGCAUUAAGUGCCCCGCCUGGGGAGUACGGCCGCAAGGCUAAAACUCAAAGGAAUUGACGG
rnacentral:rRNA from 1 species